rnacentral:tRNA from 2 species
GUGAGUGUAGCUCAGUUGGCAGAGCACCAGGUUGUGGCCCUGGUGGCCGUGGGUUCAAGUCCCAUCACUCACC